rnacentral:rRNA from 1 species
CACGGACCGCACGAACGUUAUUCGGUAUCACUGGGCUUAAAGGGUGCGUAGGCGGCCUGGCAAGUUGGGUGUGAAAGCCCUCGGCUCAACCGAGGAAUUGCGCUCAAAACUGCCGGGCUCGAGAGAGACAGAGGUAAGCGGAACUAAUGGUGGAGCGGUGAAAUGCGUUGAUAUCAUUAGGAACACCGGUGGCGAAGGCGGCUUACUGGGUCUUUUCUGACGCUGAGGCACGAAAGCCAGGGGAGCGAACGGG